GUAGAAGAUGCUUUGGGUUGUGGGCUCGGCCUAAGUUCCUUGGAACAGGACGUCAUAGAGGGUGAGAAUCCCGUAUGUGGCCAUGGCCCGCGCCUAUGUAAAGCUCUUUCGACGAGUCGAGUUGUUUGGGAAUGCAGCUCAAAAUGGGUGGUAAAUUUCAUCUAAAGCUAAAUAUGGGCCAGAGACCGAUAGCGCACAAGUAGAGUGAUCGAAAGAUGAAAAGCACUUUGGAAAGAGAGUUAAACAGUACGUGAAAUUGUUGAAAGGGAAGCGCUUGCAACCAGACUUGGGCGCUGCCGAUCACCCCGAGUUCUCUCGGGUGCACUCGACAGCGCACAGGCCAGCAUCGGUUCGGGUGGCUGGAUAAAGGCCGUAGGAAUGUAGCUCUCUUCGGAGAGUGUUAUAGCCCACGGUGCCAUGCAGCCCAGCCGGACCGAGGACCGCGCCUUCGGGCUAGGAUGCUGGCGUAAUGGUUGUAAGCGACCCGUCUUGAAACACGGACCAAGGAGUCUAACAUCUAUGCGAGUGUUUGGGCGUUAAACCCAUACGCGGAAUGAAAGUGAACGUAGGUGAGAUCCCCUUUGGGGCGCAUCAUCGACCGAUCCUGAUGUCUUCGGAUGGAUUUGAGUAAGAGCAUAGCUGUUGGGACCCGAAAGAUGGUGAACUAUGCCUGAAUAGGGUGAAGCCAGAGGAAACUCUGGUGGAGGCUCGCAGCGGUUCUGACGUGCAAAUCGAUCGUCAAAUUUGGGCAUAGGGGCGAAAGACUAAUCGAACCAUCUAGUAGCUGGUUCCUGCCGAA
rnacentral:rRNA from 1 species